rnacentral:rRNA from 1 species
GACGAACGCUGGCGGCGUGCCUAAUACAUGCAAGUAGAACGCUGAAGGAGGAGCUUGCUUCUCUGGAUGAGUUGCGAACGGGUGAGUAACGCGUAGGUAACCUGCCUGGUAGCGGGGGAUAACUAUUGGAAACGAUAGCUAAUACCGCAUAACAGUAGAUGUUGCAUGACAUUUGCUUAAAAGGUGCAAUUGCAUCACUACCAGAUGGACCUGCGUUGUAUUAGCUAGUUGGUGGGGUAACGGCUCACCAAGGCGACGAUACAUAGCCGACCUGAGAGGGUGAUCGGCCACACUGGGACUGAGACACGGCCCAGACUCCUACGGGAGGCAGCAGUAGGGAAUCUUCGGCAAUGGACGGAAGUCUGACCGAGCAACGCCGCGUGAGUGAAGAAGGUUUUCGGAUCGUAAAGCUCUGUUGUAAGAGAAGAACGAGUGUGAGAGUGGAAAGUUCACACUGUGACGGUAUCUACCA